rnacentral:misc_RNA from 1 species
GCCAGCUCGAUACGUAAAUGCAUACAUACAAGAUGAAGAAUGGUCCACACAUAUGGUUAGAAGUUAAGCUUUACAAAGCUGUCUCAUAGGAGUGAGCAGUCUUGCAAAACGAAGAGGGACAUAUGCCUUGACCAAUGUCCCAUUCUCCACAUAUUCAGUUCUAUCUACCAUUCCAACCUGGUGAAUGGUACUGAGAAGAUUGCCUUUCUCAAAUGGGAUCAAAGCUUCCACCCAUACCAUAGAAUCCUUCAAUAUUUCCUGAACUGCAAUGCAGAAAUCUUGCAGGCCAUC